UGCUAUCGGAGUUCGAUUAAGCCAUGCGAGUCGAGAGGUGCAAGACCUCGGCAUACUGCUCAGUAACACGUGGACAAUCUACCCUGUGGAGGGGGAUAACCCCGGGAAACUGGGGAUAAUACCCCAUAGACUAUGGAUGCUGGAAUGCUCUGUAGCCGAAAGGUCCGCCGCCACAGGAUGAGUCUGCGGCCGAUUAGGUUGUUGUUGGGGUAACGGCCCAACAAGCCUGUAAUCGGUACGGGUUGUGGGAGCAAGAGCCCGGAGAUGGAUUCUGAGACACGAAUCCAGGCCCUACGGGGCGCAGCAGGCGCGAAAACUUUGCAAUGCGGGAAACCGUGACAAGGGAACUCCGAGUGCCCGUAAAUUCGGGCUGUCCGCCAGUGUAAAAAACUGGUGAAGAAAGGGCCGGGCAAGACCGGUGCCAGCCGCCGCGGUAAUACCGGCGGCUCGAGUGGUGGCCACUAUUACUGGGCUUAAAGCGUUCGUAGCUGGCCUGUUAAGUCUCUGGGGAAAU
rnacentral:rRNA from 1 species